rnacentral:lncRNA from 1 species
UCGUGGCCCUUGCUCAGAAUAACAAAACAAAGGAAAGAAAAUCAAACAUAAAGAAAACUAGCUGUUGGAGGAUUUUGGGGUUCAGAUAGCUUGAUUCAAGGGCUCGAAUGAUGGCUUUGUAUCUGGACGGUUUUAGACUGUAGGAAAGCUUCUUAGGAACAUUUUGAUUGCUGAAAUAAUGGUCGAAAUCCAAGCCUGGUGAGAAAAGAGCUGUUGGGAAUUGAUGGAUUUUGACUCCAAAAAUGGCAAUUGGUUGAUUCUGAGUAUUCUGGUGGGUGCUGGUGCAGCUGAAGACUUCCUGAUGAGUUAAUAAUAUC